AAGACCUUGCACUUUUGGAGCGGCCGAUGUCUGAUUAGCUAGUUGGUGGGGUAAUGGCCUGCCAAAGCUUCGAUCAGUAGCUGGUCUGAGAGGACGGCCAGCCACACUGGGACUGAGACACGGCCCAGACUCCUACGGGAGGCAGCAGUGGGGAAUUUUGGACAAUGGGCGCAAGCCUGAUCCAGCCAUGCCGCGUGAGUGAAGAAGGCCUUCGGGUUGUAAAGCUCUUUCAGCCGGGAAGAAAAGGUUGCGACUAAUAAUCGCAAUUCAUGACGGUACCGAAAGAAGAAGCACCGGCUAACUACGUGCCAGCAGCCGCGGUAAUACGUAGGGUGCGAGCGUUAAUCGGAAUUACUGGGCGUAAAGGGUGCGCAGGCGGUUUUGUAAGUCAGAUGUGAAAUCCCCGGGCUUAACCUGGGAACU
rnacentral:rRNA from 1 species